rnacentral:rRNA from 1 species
CCUACGGGUGGCAGCAGUGAGGAAUAUUGGUCAAUGGGCGAGAGCCUGAACCAGCCAAGUCGCGUGAAGGAUGACGGUCCUAUGAAUUGUAAACCUCUUUUUUAGAGGAGUAAAAGACGGCACAUGUGGCUUUAGGACAGUACUACAUGAAUAAGGCUCGGCUAACUCCGUGCCAGCAGCCUCGGUAAUACGGAGGAUCCGAGCGUUAUCCGGAUUUAUUGGGUUUAAAGGGUGCGUAGGGGGGUGGUUAAGUCAGUCGUGAAAUCGUGAGGCGCAACUGUAGAAUUGCAUUUGAUACUGGUAGUCUAGAGUAUAGUUGAGGUAGGUGGAAUGCGUGGUGUAGCGGUGAAAUGCUUAGAGAUCAAGAAGAACACCGAUUGCGAAGGCAGCUUACUAAACUAUUACUGACGUUGAUGCGCGAAAGCGUGGGGAGCAAACAGGAUUAGAUACCCGUGUAGUC